rnacentral:rRNA from 1 species
ACCCGCACAAGCGGUGGAUGAUGUGGAUUAAUUCGAUGCAACGCGAAAACCUUACCUACCCUUGACAUGUCCGGAAUCCUGCAGAGAUGCGGGAGUGCCCGAAAGGGAAUCGGAACACAGGUGCUGCAUGGCUGUCGUCAGCUCGUGUCGUGAGAUGUUGGGUUAAGUCCCGCAACGAGCGCAACCCUUAUCAUUAGUUGCUACGCAAGGGCACUCUAAUGAGACUGCCGGUGGCAAACCGGAGGAAGGUGGGGAUGACGUCAAGUCCUCAUGGCCCUUAUGGGCUGGGCUACACACGUGCUACAAUGGCCGGUACAGAGGGUUGCCAACCCGCGAGGGGGAGCCAAUCUCAGAAAACCGGUCGUAGUCCGGAUCGCAGUCUGCAACUCGACUGCGUGAAGUCGGAAUCGCUAGUAAUCGCGGAUCAGCACGCCCGCGGUCGAAUACGUUCCGGGCCUU